rnacentral:rRNA from 1 species
UGCAAGUCGAACGAGAAGGGUAGCAAUACCUGAGUAAAGUGGCGCACGGGUGAGUAACACGUGACUAACCUACCUUUUAGUGGGGGAUAACCUAGGGAAACCUGGGCUAAUACCGCAUAAUACCUACGGGUCAAAGCAGCAAUGCGCUGAAAGAGGGGGUCGCGGCCGAUUAGCUAGUUGGCGGGGUAAUGGCCCACCAAGGCGAUGAUCGGUAUCCGGCCUGAGAGGGCGCACGGACACACUGGAACUGAAACACGGUCCAGACUCCUACGGGAGGCAGCAGUGGGGAAUUUUGCGCAAUGGGGGAAACCCUGACGCAGCAACGCCGCGUGGAGGAUGAAGUCCCUUGGGACGUAAACUCCUUUCGAUCGGAACGAUAAUGACGGUACCGGAAGAAGAAGCCCCGGCUAACUUCGUGCCAGCAGCCGCGGUAAUACGAGGGGGGCAAGCGUUGUUCGGAAUUAUUGGGCGUAAAGGGUGCGUAGGUGGUUCGGCAAGUCUUGUGUGAAAUCUUCAGGCUCAACUUGAAGUCUGCACAAGAAACUGCCGGGCUUGAGUAUGGGAGAGGUGAGUGGAAUUUCCGGUGUAGCGGUGAAAUGCGUAGAUAUCGGAAGGAACACCUGUGGCGAAAGCGGCUCACUGGACCAUUACUGACACUGAGGCACGAAAGCUAGGGGAGCAAACAGGAUUAGAUACCCUGGUAGUCCUAGCCCUAAACGAUGAUCGCUUGGUGUGGCGGGUAUCCAACCCUGCCGUGCCGAAGCUAACGCGUUAAGCGAUCCGGCCUGGGGAGUACGGUCGCAAGGCUGAAACUCAAAGGAAUUGACGGGGGCCCGCACAAGCGGUGGAGCAUGUGGUUUAAUUCGACGCAACGCGAAGAACCUUACCUGGGCUCGAAAUGUAGCGGACCGGGGUAGAAAUAUCCCUUCCUAGCAAUAGG